rnacentral:rRNA from 1 species
AUGGCGGAGCCGGCCCUCCUCGACCCCUCCUCCCACUUCGACCUCCGCCACUACCCGCCCGGCCUCUUCGACCCGGACCUGCACCUCGCGGACGACGACGACGACCUGCCGCUCGGGAAUUUCGGCCUCGGCCUCGGCGGCGCCGGCGGCGACUGCGACGACCUCGACUUCGACCUGCCCGCGGAUUUCUCCGUCGAGGACUUCCUCCUCCGCUCCCCUGAGCGGAGCGACUCCGCCGAGGGCUCUGCCGCCGGAUCCGGCCCCACCGCAUCCUCGUCCUCCCCCGCCGCCUCCGGCACCGGCUCCGCCGUCGCCGACGCCAGCUGCGAGGUCAAGCACGAGGAGUCGGACGAGGGGAGGAGCGCCGCCGCCCCUAGCUGGGGCCUGAAGCGGAAGCCGGCGAGCCCCGCCCCCAGCUCGGAGGCGGCCAAGUGCCGCCGAUCCGGGGACGGUGAGGUCUCCCCUUCCGCGUCGGCCUCGCGGCCCGCCGUGGACUCCGACGAGGGAGGCGCCGUCGGCGAGGGGGAGGACACCAGGCGGGCGGCGCGGCUGAUACGGAACCGCGAGAGCGCGCAGCUGUCUCGGCAGAGGAAGAAGCGCUACGUCGAGGAGCUGGAGGAGAAGGUCAAGUCAAUGAACUCGGUCAUAAACGACCUCAAUUCCAAGAUCUCCUUCAUUGUGGCCGAGAAUGCAACACUGCGGCAGCAACUCGGUAGCGGCGGCGGGAAUUGCGCACCGCCUGGGAUGUAUCCACCGGGAGCAGUGCCCGGCAUGCAUUUCCCUUGGGUGCCUGGGUAUGCCAUGCGGCCUCAUGGUUCCCAUGUCCCUCUUGUACCAAUUCCUCGGCUAAAGCCGCAGCAGCAGGUGACCGCAACCAAGGCCACAAAGAAACCAGAGAACAAGAAGGCCGUGGACAGCAAGAGCAAGAGCAAGACCAAGACCAAGAAGGUGGCAAGUGUUAGCCUUCUCGGUUUGAUGCUUGUUAUGCUCGUCUUUGGUGCUUUUGUUCCAGGGUUCAAUCACAAUUUUGGAUUGAGUGGGGGAAGUGACAAUGCAAUGUUUAGGAAUUUUGGUCAGCCUCAUGAUAGGGUAGUCAAUGUCAAUAACCAUGGUCAAGCACCUAAAGGGGGUUUGAACAAUAGUGACAUGACUGGUGUUGAUUCUGGAAUGAUGAUUGGGACUGAUGGCAGUGCUGACCAGAAGCAUCAACCUCCACUUAACUCAAGUGAGACCUUGCCUGCUUUGUUGUAUGUGCCAAGGAAUGGAAAGCAUGUCAAGAUCAACGGCAAUCUGAUUAUUCAUUCUGUGCUUGCAAGCGAGAAAGCGGUAGCACAUGGGACUUCACAACACAACCGUGACCAGUCAGGUAUAGAUCACAAAGAGACAAGUACAGCCAUAGCUCGUCAUCUAUCACUGCCUGGAAACAAUAUGAAUCCACAAGAGAAAUCCCCGGUAGAUGGACCAUUGCCGCAGUGGUUUCGUGAAGGAAUGGCAGGGCCUAUCCUAAAUUCUGGAAUGUGCAGUGAGGUAUUUCAGUUUGACGUUUCCGCUGCCACCAAUUCCGGUGGCAUAAUACCUGCUUCUCCAGCUGUGAACUCCUCGAGUGUUAAUGCUACUCGAAAGGUUCCAACACCAGCUCCUGCUUAUUACGGCAAGCUGAAGAAUAGGAGGAUCAUGUACAAUGAGGCGAUUCCACUCACUGGGAAAACGGCGAACAACACAGGGCCUUUCAACAGAACUUCUGAAAGCAGCAAGUUACCUGAUAAGAAGCCAGCAUCGUCGGUAGUUGUUUCUGUGCUAGCUGACCCCAGGGAGGCCGGUGACGGAGAUAGCGAUCCAAGGAUGACCCCGAAGUCCCUCUCCAGGAUAUUUGUUGUUGUUCUCCUUGAUGGUGUCAGAUAUGUCACAUACUCCUGCACCCUUCCUUUCAAGAGUGCCAGCCCUCAUCUUGUAAACUAA